rnacentral:rRNA from 1 species
UACAGAGGGUGCGAGCGUUAAUCGGAAUUACUGGGCGUAAAGGGCGCGUAGGUGGUUACUUAAGUCAGAGGUGAAAUCCCCGGGCUCAACCUGGGAAUUGCCUAUGAAACUGAGUGGCUAGAGUUCGGGAGAGGGAAGUGGAAUUUCCGGUGUAGCGGUGAAAUGCGUAGAUAUCGGAAGGAACACCAGUGGCGAAGGCGACUUCCUGGCCCGAUACUGACACUGAGGCGCGAAAGCGUGGGGAGCGAACAGG